rnacentral:misc_RNA from 1 species
AAGUCGUAACAAGGUCUCCGUUGGUGAACCAGCGGAGGGAUCAUUGCUGGAACAAACGCCCUCACGGGUGCUACCCAGAAACCCUUUGUGAAUACUACCUAAAAAAUGUUGCCUCGGCGCAGGUUGGCCCUUUUACAGGGUCCCUUCUCCCCUAGGGGUUUAGGAGCAGACCGGCCGGCGGCCCUAUAAACUCUUGUUUUUGUAAAAUCAUCUGAGUAAAAAAAAUAAAUGAAUCAAAACUUUCAACAACGGAUCUCUUGGUUCUG